rfam:Branchiostoma floridae genomic scaffold BRAFLscaffold_122, whole genome shotgun sequence.
GUGCCUGCUGGCUUGUCACUUCCAAUACAUGCUGUGGUCCCACCAUCCCGUCCAUGUAGAGAGAGUGACAGGUUGUCGGGCCUC